rnacentral:misc_RNA from 1 species
GUUGGUCAUGCAAUGCAUUUUUGUUUUGCUAAAGUUGGUUAUGCAGCGUUGGCUGUUAUGUGUAAUUAAUUUCUUUUGCUUCUUCUUAGUUUUUUUCUUGGAUUUGGUUAAUAUUGCCAAAUUAAUCUCAGUACUUGGUGCAGCACCAACACUAGAGUUGUAAAGAUGGGAUAAUGAACUUAUGUGUGUGGGCUUUCUGAGUCUUUCAGUUGAGAUUUUGGUUUGAUAAGUUUCCCAUUCAUUAUGGCCUUAUGGUUAAAGCUAGUUUCUAUGUUUGGUAGAAUUUAUUUUGCAUGAUAAUAGUGUGUAAUGUAUUUGUUUCAAGUGGUGGCUGCAUUUGCUUAAUCCUCUGCCUUCUUUCCUGCUGGGUAAUUGUAGCAAGUCGAGAAUUGU